rnacentral:rRNA from 1 species
GAUGAACGCUGGCGGCGUGCUUAACACAUGCAAGUCGAACGAAGCACCUUGAUUCGAUUCUUCGGAUGAAGAUCUUGGUGACUGAGUGGCGGACGGGUGAGUAACGCGUGGGUAACCUGCCUCAUACAGGGGGAUAACAGUUAGAAAUGACUGCUAAUACCGCAUAAGACCACAGCACCGCAUGGUGCAGGGGUAAAAACUCCGGUGGUAUGAGAUGGACCCGCGUCUGAUUAGGUAGUUGGUGGGGUAACGGCCUACCAAGCCGACGAUCAGUAGCCGACCUGAGAGGGGGACCGGCCACAUUGGGACUGAGACACGGCCCAAACUCCUACGGGAGGCAGCAGUGGGGAAUAUUGCACAAUGGGGGAAACCCUGAUGCAGCGACGCCGCGUGAGCGAUGAAGUAUUUCGGUAUGUAAAGCUCUAUCAGCAGGGAAGAAAAUGACGGUACCUGACGAAGAAGCACCGGCUAAAUACGUG